rnacentral:rRNA from 1 species
UACGUAGGGGGCAAGCGUUGUCCGGAAUCAUUGGGCGUAAAGAGCGUGUAGGCGGCCCGGUAAGUCCGCUGUGAAAGUCCAGGGCUCAACCCUGGGAUGCCGGUGGAUACUGUCGGGCUCGAGUCCGGAAGAGGAGUGUGGAAUUCCUGGUGUAGCGGUGAAAUGCGCAGAUAUCAGGAGGAACACCAGUGGCGAAGGCGACUACCUGGCCUGUUCUUGACGCUGAGGCGCGAAAGCUAGGGGAGCAAACGGG